rnacentral:rRNA from 1 species
UACGGAGGGUGCAAGCGUUAAUCGGAAUUACUGGGCGUAAAGCGUGCGCAGGCGGUUUGUUAAGUCCGCCGUGAAAUCCCCGAGCUCAACUUGGGAAUUGCAGUGGAUACUGGCAAGCUGGAGUAUGGUAGAGGAAGGUGGAAUUCCCGGUGUAGCAGUGAAAUGCGUAGAGAUCGGGAGGAACACCAGUGGCGAAGGCGGCCUUCUGGACCAAUACUGACGCUCAUGCACGAAAGCGUGGGGAGCAAACAGG